rnacentral:piRNA from 1 species
UAACAUUUGAAGGGACCAAUUACUGGA